UGGAGGCAUAGGAAUAAACCCUUUGCUUCCUUGUACAACCAAUAGGAGGAUAACACCCAAUUUAAAAUCCAUAAAGAACCAGAAGUGCCAGAAAAUCAAACUGCAGGGAACUCCAACAACCAAGGAAUUAAAGAAACAGUCAACCAGACCAACCAGACUGGUAAGACAGGCCAAUGGAGAGAACCCAAGGAAAGGCGGUGGACCAUGUGGGCAGGACUGGCUGAAUGGGAAACUGAGACUCAGAGUUGACUGUGGACUACCGUGGGGGUUGCCAUGGUGGGAGAAACUCCCAGUCUCACACAAGAGUUCAUUGGAAAGUGCACUA